UUUGCUGCACGCUAUAGUGUGCAGAGGAGGCCUGAGAGUCGUGGGGGGGUGGGGUGGGGGGGGGAGACACUGAUGUCACCAAGAAAGCCAGGCGCUGGGAGGAAGCACGCACAGACUGAACCUGAACUGAACUUUUCGCAGGCUCCUCUCGAAAAUUAUUAUUCCUCCUGUGGCCGUUCACGCUGUGCAUACACUCCUGUUUACUGGGCCCGUGUGUGUGCGUUCUUGCGGUUUCUUGUUGACUUAAUCACUCCUGCAUGUACCCGCCACCUCAGCACACACACCGGCUGUUUUAUGUAUUUAUUUACUCACUCAUGCACUCCAUGUAUUGCUCACUUACUGUAUGGGCUCAAGCACGGUGACUGCCGGGUUUCUGCUUGUGCUCCCUUGCACGUAUUAUGCACUUACUGCAUACCCCAGUUACCCACUUAGCUCGUCAAUAGUGGGUUUUUUUUUUUUGUUUUUUUUUUAACUCACUCCGCUUGCUCUCUGACACCUAGCAGCUAAAGUAAGUCCUCUUGGAGACGAUACGAUAAAGAACAAGGCAAUGCAAGAAUAGAACAAAAAAAAAGAAACCACAGACAUGAAGCACAUCCAUUUCGAUGCUGUGUAGACAUACAGUAAUUAAUCAUUACCCGCAAAAGUUAUAAGAAUUUUCCCUUUGCUUUCCUGAUGCAGGAAAUCUAACAUUUCCCCUUAUUAUUCCCUUUAAAAUACAGUGUUUUAAAAAACAAAACCAUGGCGAUCAAUAACAACAGUAAAGCCUCAAUAAUUAUGGCGCACAAACAACAGGAGGAGGUAGACAGAUUUAUUUACCCUGGGGGCAUAAUUACUGUGCUCGGAGGGAACAGAGGAAGAUGUCAGAGCGCCAGAAUGGGAAAAGCAAGAACAGCACUCAGCCUCCUAAACAACAUUUGGAAAAACAAAGGAAAAUCCCUCUCACUUAAAGAGGCAAUUUGUAAAAUGUUUCCAGGAAAUUUAGUUUAGAACAUUAAAUUGUUAAAAAAAAAAAAAAAAAAAAGACCCAACAGUGUCAACGGAGAAUGAAGAAACUACAGUGUCACGCCAAAGGCAAGCUAGCAGGCUAACCAGCUAGCUCCGGCCUGUCCUGUGUCAGUACAACGUAACGUAAUAUCAUACGUAAUAUCACUUUGUCUGACGGCCCCCGUGCUUUAAUUCAACUAGGAGAUGGAAAAGCGAUGAGUUUGCAAUUCAGUCUAAUAAGUAAACAGAAUAAACACACAAAAUGUAAAAAAAAAUAAAUACAUUUUAAAAAAUGCUGAAAUACAACAGUACACCGUCCGAACAGCACCAAUGAAACAAAACUCACCCCGGUGUGUCCCUCCACCACCGCUUCUUCUGGUUUGGUUGAAGUAAAUCCUCAUUUCAGAUGUGAAAACGUCCUGGCUCUAAUCGCAGCGCGCCGCGCAUACCAGCCUUUUCCGAAAGUCUGCCGGCCAAACACCAUCACCAUCACCAAACACAGCGGGAACACACCCAAGCAGGCGCCCGUGGAACCUCGAAAUAGGCGAAGGGAGUGGUGCAGGAUAGGGCGCACGGCCAUGAGACAAAAUAAGGCAAUCGGCAACAAUGGAAAGGAGGGCUUUUGCUUGUGGCUUAAGUUCCUUUGGGGAUUCAAAAGCCUAAGUAGUAAUCUUUGCUUUUUUCAUGUAAGAUACUGCAAAGUUUUACCCUAUCAGACCACUAAACAUAUGUCAAAUGAAAUAAUGGGAUGAGGCAGGGAAGAUAAUCCGUCUCCAGUUGCACGGUUCACAACUCGCAGGCAUAAAACAUACAUGACAUAUUCAUAAUGCAAACCACUUAACGUGCCCUAACCUGGAGUGGAUUAUGGCGCCGGGACUCUCUAAGUCAACCAGAGGGGAGGAAUCCCAGCAGGAACCGUCACAGCAGAGUCUCAUGCGGGGUGGAAACCGCCUGAAACUUUUGGAAAGAGUUUCAAAUUUAAUUUUCAAAUUGCGCUGCGAUUCGGCAUAAAUUAGUGGCGCAGGAAAUGUCUUACUUUUUUUUUGAAAAUGUGCUUAAAAAAUAUUAUUUUGAUGACCACACGCUGGCGGCGUAUUUGACUUUUUGUGAAAAAUGUUUAUUCCCCUUCCUGCUUGAGGAGACUGAUAUUAAACUAAAGACUGCUGUGAUAUAAGGCACUGUACGUACGCAUGUAUUUUCUUCCUGAGAUGCUUUCCCUUAUGUCUCAGUUUUAUUUGUCUGACCGUCUCCCUCCACACACACACACACACUCUCACACACAUAACUCACAGUAUAAGCCUGUCUGUGGGAGUUCUCCUGGGUACAGUAUGCAGUCUGUGGGUUUUAUCAGAGGUGUUCCACCUGGAGGGAGUCUGGGAGCAAAAACACAGCUUCAGACAGAUUUAGAGCUCUUUCUGCUCCGCAGGAAUGAGCGGGCAGUGUUUGCGUUGCGCGGUGUUUGAAUAGUGCCCUUUCUGGAGAGAGCCUCCCAUUGGUGAGCGGCUUCUGGAGUGUGAGGAUGCAUAAAUGACACUGCCGGAUAAAAGCCUUUUGCAGCUGUGAAAAUGUCAACACGCAUAACUGGCCGGACACCGAUUUGUUUGUAGUCUGUAAAUGAUGUUCAGUAAUAAGUUGCUGUUGAAUAGUCUUUGUACCUUAACUUUACAAACGGCACUGCACUCUGUCAUUUGUAAUUUGCAGCUCUGCAGAAUGAAAGCUUUUCAUGGGGAGAGAGGAAUGAAAAAAACUCCAUUGAAGCUUUUCUUUCUUUCUUUCUUUUUUUUUUGUUGAGUCAGUUGGAAUCAAGGAUGUUUUUGUCCUGUGCAUCAUUAUUCUUCAUGCGCUGGCUCAUUUUAUUCAUUUUCUUUCCCCCCCGUUCAAAAUUCUUCCCCAGGUUUUUUUUUGUUUGUUUUUGCACCUAAUUUGAUGCCGGGAAAAAUGGAGCUCUUAAGAAAUGUAGGCCACAUAAUUGUGUCAGUAUAACAAAAUUAAAACACUGUAAAUCGGAGCUUCAGGCGUACUGUACGUGUGGAUGUGAAGAAGCAGCCAUGUGUUCAGCAGCUGUCCUCGUCAAAGAGCCGUGUGUCUUCUUAAAAUACAGCGCGGGACCCGGAAUAAGUCACGGACCUGUUUUUUUGGGGGGGGGGGCCUGGUGCCGUAUGUGACCGGGAUUAAAAUUAAAUCAGGCUUGCUGAGAUCGAAUGCAAAUUCAAAACAGGUAGAGCACAAAAACAACUUCACCUUGUGUUGGUUAUUCAUCCUUUUAAAGCAAUGCUUUAAUUGUGUUACGUUCAUAUGAAGCAUGUGUACUGUGCUACUUUGGUCAUUUGAUAUGAUUACAUGUGGUUAUGAUCGCGGUGUGUGUGUGUGUGUGUGAGCGUUGUAAAACAUAUGAAACAGAUUGUAAGCCUGUGACAGAGUAAUGACACAUGGCUAUAAUAAACAUAAUGCUCUUCAUGCAUUACACACAAACAUAAAACCACACCUUUAGAAGUGACUAUGGUUAGAAAGAUUCUAUAAAAAAUAUCUGCGCUGGAAAUGUAUAUCCGCAUGUUGUGAAUGUCAAAUUUUCUGUGCAUAUCAUUAUCUUAUUUUUUUGUUGUUUCCCAUAUUUUUUUUUAAUUAACAUUUUUCACUUUUACCUUGUUUCCCAUCGAACAGAGACUCUUGUUUUUGUUGUUUGUGGCCUGAUCUGAUGCAAGUUUCUUAUUUACUGUGAGGGGCUACGACCGGAUAUCGACAUUUUUCUGUUAUGGAAAUGUUUUUCGCUCUGAAGAUGUCAGAACGCUGAAGUGCUAAUCAGAUCCUUCAUGGUGCAAAACACGAGCAUUUGAGUUGAAGCCUUUCAAAAUGAACUCAAACUAAAAACAUGUGAAGAAAUUACAGGAGAAAUCUGCAGAUAUCUAUCGAAGUUUGCGUGCCGCUCAUUUUUGUUUUAUUUUGUUUUUUCUUAUUGUUGACUGUGUCCAGCUGAUUUUGAUUUGAGCUGCCUAUUUGAUUUGUUGCUUUUGUGUGGUCAUUUGAUGGUUUAUUGCUGUUUGUUCACAGGUUUGGUUUUGUAAAAGCAAAAUAAAAUAUUCUAAUAAAAAUAAGCAUUUAUAAAGAAUUCUAAAAAAAAAACCACACACACGCUGUAUACAUCAAACAUUGAAUUUAUAUGCAACAACAUUUAGGGGGCAUCAACCAUUUCUGACUGGGCAUAUUUUUGAUUUGCCAGCUUUUUGCUGAUACCUUCGCCUGUGCUAUUUCUCUUGCUGUUGCUAUGUCCUUUUGCUGGUGAAGUGAUCACGGUCUCACUUGAUGUGACUGCUGUGAAUUCAUGGAAGUCAAAAAGUCAGAGCAUCUCUGCGGCCGUCAGCCAGACAAGGUUUUUGGUCCAUGGGCUCAAAAUGUUUGAAGCCUGAAAACCUUCUUCCUCCAAUGGACCCAAUGAGCCACUCUGCAGGAAUGCUGCACCAUCUUGGAACCUGGUAUCCAUUUCUGCUUAUCAUAUGUUUUAGUCAAGGGACGAUCAACUAGAACAGAGUUAAGUCCGCCUAUAACAACAGAUCAUUUUGCAUAAACACUUUCUUCAGGAUAUGAAGGAAACAGUAAAACUAUGAAAUGAGGAAAAGGGAGAAGCAGUCUGACAAGUAUCUGAUUCAACGCUAACAUAAUGCCGCUGUUGGUUGUCACAAGGUUAUGAAGCCAUUAAGCCCAGAGAAUCUUUUUUGAGAUCCGAAGAAACAUUGUGUGAUAAUACACACUUAGGAGAUGGCAGCCUGCCAAAUAAGAUAAUAAAGUCUUUUGAUUUGUACAUUUUUCACGUUCUUUGCGGCGGGCAGGCGCGGAUACAGUUACAUCCUGGAUUUUGAUCAAAAGGUACCACACCUUGUUUCAGAAGCCACGUCGUUUGUUACUUGGCGAGUCACCAGAUGUUCAUUUUAGGCCCUGGUGGCUACACACACACACACACA